AUAUGGAAAAGUAAAUUGUGAUAUACAAACCAAAAAUUACUAAAGAAAUAUAUUAUAUUAAUUAUAAUUGCGCGAAGGACCUUAAAAUCGCUAGCAAAUUUGACAUUUUUUUUGUAGUGAUCACAACUUAAGAACUAGAUUGUAUCUAGCGGGCGAACAAAAUGCCCUAGGACAACGAUUCUUUCAUCAGAUUGUGUCUAGCGGGCGAACAAAAUGUCCUAGGACAACGAUUCUUUCACCAAAUUCACAUGGGAAACGGAGUAAAGGAGAGAGGAGAGCAGAUAGGAAAGAGGCACCCCGAAAGAACACCAGACUGGUGGCUUGGAAUUUAAAUUUUUUUGGCGGCGUGUCGUUCUAUAAUACAGUCAAUUCUUAUCAUUUUUAUACCUGCUUUGUUCACGUUGCUUGCCAAUUCUUUCUCCUGUUUAGUCGGUCUUGCGUAGUCGUUCAGUGCGCGCGUGAUCUGUUUGCCACGACCCUCGUGGCAUCUUUUACCGGUUCUUGAGAUUUUGAUUCGGUAGUAAUUUGAAACGGUCGGCAAUGGUAUUUUGUAAUAACACUCGGUUGUGUCCUAUGGUUAAUGGUUUGCGGAAUGUGGAUUCCAGAAUUGAGUGGCUUUAUUCACAUGUGUUCCGACGACAACCGUUAUGAUUUCUCGGACUUUGUUUGUUCCACGUGUGAAGUGAAGAUUGUCAGCAAGGGAAAUAAUGCACUUUCAGAAAGGUUGAGAGAUUGGAGGGUAUGCAUCUUAUAGAGGAACUUUCUAACUCUAUUCUAGCGGGGAGAAACGCAAAGGCAUUUUGGGGCACUUCCAAAAAAGCUGGUAGGUAGGAGGGAUAUUCAUCUUGUAGAGGAACUCUCCCGCUCUAACAUGUCGCUAAAAAAACGGUAAAAAGGACUGGUCGUUUUCCACACCAUGUUUUUAUAACACUUCUUGAAACGGCUACUCUUUAAAUGAUAUUAAAAAUAAUGAUGUUCCUAUACAACUAGCGAAAUAAAAGCAAAUGUAUCUGCAGA